GCCAGCAUGGUGUAAGGGUUUGAGUGUUGGACUAUGACUCUGGAGACCAGGGUUUGAGUCCCAGUUCGGCCG